UACGUAGGGUGCAAGCGUUGUCCGGAAUUAUUGGGCGUAAAGAGCUCGUAGGCGGUUUGUCGCGUCUGCUGUGAAAACUCGGGGCUUAACUCCGGGCCUGCAGUGGGUACGGGCAGACUAGAGUGCGGUAGGGGAGACUGGAAUUCCUGGUGUAGCGGUGAAAUGCGCAGAUAUCAGGAGGAACACCGGUGGCGAAGGCGGGUCUCUGGGCCGUAACUGACGCUCAGGCACGAAAGCGUGGGGAGCAAACAGG
rnacentral:rRNA from 1 species